CAGCCGCCGCGGUAAUACGUAGGGUGCGAGCGUUAAUCGGAAUUACUGGGCGUAAAGCGUGCGCAGGCGGUUAUAUAAGACAGAUGUGAAAUCCCCGGGCUCAACCUGGGAACUGUAUUUGAGACUGUAUGGCUAGAGUGUGUCAGAGGGGGGUAGAAUUCCACGUGUAGCAGUGAAAUGCGUAGAUAUGUGGAGGAACACCGAUGGCGAAGGCAAUCCCCUGGACCUGUACUGACGCUCAUGCACGAAAGCGUGGGGAGCAAACAGGAUUAGAUACCCGCGUAGUCCCUGUCUCUUAUAC
rnacentral:rRNA from 1 species